rnacentral:rRNA from 1 species
UAGGGAAUAUUAGAAAUGGACGAAAGUCUGAUCUAGCAACACCGCGUGUGCGAAGAAGGCCUUCGGGUCGUAAAGCACUUUUUGGAAGGAAUAGGAAGGAACGUACUUCCAGAAUAAGUCUCGGCUAACUACGUGCCAGCAGCCGCGGUAACACGUAGGAGGCAAACGUUAUCCGGAUUUACUGGGCGUAAAGCGCGUGUAGGUGGUUCUGUAAGUAGGGCGUGAAAGCUCCCGGAUCAACUGGGAGAGGCCGUUCUAAACUGCAGAACUAGAGGAUGGUAGAGGGAGGUGGAAUUUCAGGUGUAGCGGUGGAAUGCGCAGAUAUCUGAAGGAGCACCAGUGGCGAAAGCGGCCUCCUGAACCAUUCCUGACACUCAGACGCGAAAGCUAGGGUAGCAAACG